CGUCUAGGCGGCACGGCAAGUCAGACGUGAAAUCUCCCGGCCCAACCGGGAGCCCGCGUUCGAUACUGCCGAGCUAGAGUGCGGAAGAGGAGAGCGGAAUUCCAGGUGUAGCGGUGAAAUGCGUAGAUAUCUGGAAGAACACCAGUGGCGAAGGCGGCUCUCUGGUCCGACACUGACGCUGAAGCGCGAAAGCUAGGGGAGCGAACA
rnacentral:rRNA from 1 species